rnacentral:lncRNA from 1 species
UUUAUUUUAAAAAUUAAUAAUAUGUCUUCCUGAACAGUUCAUUGAUUGUCUCCACUGUAACAAUUCAUUUUCUCAGUAAAAAUUAGAGAAUGAGAUCACAAUAUGGAUACAUUGCAAGAGGUGGAGCCCUGGAACAAAAGUAAGAGAUCCUCUUCACCACUGCUCACUAAGGGACAGUUCUGCAGCAGGCAUCCCAUGUAGGAAGCUCAAGGAGGCCGUUGUCACUGGAGAGAGAACCAGAAGGGACCUUAGAAGUCAGCUUACUCAACCCUCCUGCCUCCAGCCCCACUGUACAGAUGAUGAAACUCAAGCCCAAAAGGGCAGGGUUGCCCCAGGUUCCACUGUGUAUAACAAGGAUUCUGAAUACAGCUGAGGACUAUCCUGAUCAAAUAUGCAUACUUCAAAGAUUGCUUCAAUGGACUGAAUGGAAGGAAGAGGUUGCUGAUACCAUGGAAAUCAGUUAA